rnacentral:lncRNA from 1 species
AUCACAACAGUGAAAAAAUCACAUCAAACAGGAAUCGGGAAGGGCCUCAUCGGAGGUAUUUUCUGAAAUACCCCGCGGCGGCGCCCCCUGGCUUUGCCAGCGUUUUUCGCCCAAUCGGCCAGUCCUUUUGCUCCAAUUUGGUCAUAGAUGUGUUUAAAAUUAAAUUCUAAGCAAAAGGUGAAAUUUUACCUCGUUUGGCAAUCGAAAAUUGCUCCGGUGCAGCGGCGGGUGACGGUGAUCGGUUCCCCGAUGGCUGGGCUGUCUUCUCCGGUGAGGGGUUCUGGCGUCUGGGGUUAGGGUUUGGGUGAGGAUGGUGUUAUUUAUACUCAUCCAUUUUUUAUCUGGGCCAUCUAUCGCUUUUGAUCUAAACCGUUCGAUUGCGAUUAAAUAGGGAGUGAAUCUGGGCUGUCCAUGCGUGAUUCAAUCUGGAACGUCCAUGUGUGAUUCAAUCUAGGCCGUCCAUGUGUAAUUCAAUCUGAGUCGUCCGUGCGCGCUUCCAAUCUGGGUUGUCCGUGCCCGCGGGAACGAAUCUCAGCCAUUCG